CGAUUACGGCUCAGUAACACGUGGAUAACCUACCCUUAGGACUGGGAUAACCCUGGGAAACUGGGGAUAAUACUGGAUAGGCAAUUAUUCCUGUAAUGGUUUUUUGUUUAAAUGUUUUUUCGCCUAAGGAUGGGUCUGCGGCCGAUUAGGUAGUUGGUUAGGUAAUGGCUUACCAAGCCUUUGAUCGGUACGGGUUGUGAGAGCAAGAGCCCGGAGAUGGAACCUGAGACAAGGUUCCAGGCCCUACGGGGUGCAGCAGGCGCGAAACCUCCGCAAUGUGAGAAAUCGCGACGGGGGGAUCCCAAGUGCCAUUCUUAACGGGAUGGCUUUUCAUUAGUGUAAAGAGCUUUUGGAAUAAGAGCUGGGCAAGACCGGUGCCAGCCGCCGCGGUAACACCGGCAGCUCUAGUGGUAGCAGUUUUUAUUGGGCCUAAAGCGUCCGUAGCCGGUUUAAUAAGUCUCUGGUGAAAUCCUGCAGCUUAACUGUGGGAAUUGCUGGAGAUACUAUUAGACUUGAGAUCGGGAGAGGUUAGAGGUACUCCCAGGGUAGAGGUGAAAUUCUGUAAUCCUGGG
rnacentral:rRNA from 1 species